AAAUUUGAAAUCUGGCUUUCGGGUCCGAGUUGUAAUUUGUAGAGGAUGCUUUUGGCGCGGUGCCUUCCGAGUUCCCUGGAACGGGACGCCUUAGAGGGUGAGAGCCCCGUACGGUUGGACACCAAGCCUCUGUAAAGCUCCUUCGACGAGUCGAGUAGUUUGGGAAUGCUGCUCUAAAUGGGAGGUAAAUUUCUUCUAAAGCUAAAUAUUGGCCAGAGACCGAUAGCGCACAAGUAGAGUGAUCGAAAGAUGAAAAGCACUUUGAAAAGAGGGUUAAAUAGCACGUGAAAUUGUUGAAAGGGAAGCGUUUGCGACCAGACCUCUUCUUGGCGAAUCAUCCGGUGUUCUCACCGGUGCACUUCGCCAGGUCGAGGCCAGCAUCGGUUUUUGUAGGGGGAUAAAAGCUUUGGGAACGUAGCUCCUCCGGGAGUGUUAUAGCCCUUUGCAUAAUACCUUUACGGGGACCGAGGACCGCGCAUUUAUGCAAGGAUGCUGGCGUAAUGGUCGUCAACGACCCGUCUUGAAACACGGACCAAGGAGUCGAACAUUUAUGCGAGUGUUUGGGUGUUAAACCCUCACGCGUAAUGAAGGUGAACGUAGGUGAGAGCCCUUCGGGGUGCAUCAUCGACCGAUCCUGAUGUCUUCGGAUGGAUUUGAGUAAGAGCAUAGCUGUUCGGACCCGAAAGAUGGUGAACUAUGCGUGGAUAGGGUGAAGCCAGAGGAAACUCUGGUGGAGGCUCGCAGCGGUUCUGACGUGCAAAUCGAUCGUCA
rnacentral:rRNA from 1 species